GCCGAAGUGGCGGAAUGGCAGACGCAGCGGAUUCAAAAUCCGCCGACCUCAAAAGUCGUGUGGGUUCGAGUCCCACCUUCGGCA
rnacentral:tRNA from 1 species